CAGCCGCCGCGGUAAUACCGGCGGCCCGAGUGGCGGCCACUAUUAUUGGGCUUAAAGCGUCCGUAGCCGGGUUGGUUAGUCUCCCGGGAAAUCUGGCCGCUUAACGGUCCGAAUUCCGGGAGAUACUGCCAGCCUAGGGACCGGGAGAGGCCGAGGGUAUUCCCGGAGUAGGGGUGAAAUCCUAUAAUCCCGGGAGGACCACCUGUGGCGAAGGCGCUCGGCUGGAACGGGUCCGACGGUGAGGGACGAAGGCCAGGGGAGAAAACCGGAUAAGAUCCCCGGGUAGUCCACGCCGUAAACGGUGGGCACUAGGUGUGGGGGGUUAAUCCCUCCGUGCCGAAGCUAACGCAUUAAGUGCCCCGCCUGGGGAGUACGGCCGCAAGGUUGAAACUUAAAGGAAUUGGCGGG
rnacentral:rRNA from 1 species